GACCUCAGAAUCCUGAAGAAUCUUGAAAGUUUAGUGUAUAGUCUGCAAGCGAGUUAAAUUGUUCAUUUACCUACCUAAUGAACAGAAUGGGUUAUAACCCCAAAAUAUCAAUACCAGAGUCUAUCAUUCUUAGACAAGUUUUACCAGGCCUUUACACUUUUUUUUUUUAAAGAUUUUAUUUAUUUAUUCAUGAGAGAUACAGAGAGAGAGAGAGAGAGGCAGAGAUACAGGCAGAGGGAGAAGCAGGCUCCAUGCAGGGAGCCUGACCUGGGACUCAAUCCCAGGUCUCCAGGGUCAGGCCCUGGGCUGAAGGCAGGGGCUAAACUGCUGAGCCACCUGGGCUGCCACCUAUACACUUUUUAAUUCGAAUGCUCUUAGGAUCUUAGAAUUUCACAAUAAUGGAAGACCUAUCAUACCCAUGGCUAGACACCUAUGUAUGGACACUCUGCAUUGUUUGCUCUGACACAGGAAAUGGAUUUGGGAGUGACAAGAUGGAGACAUCUUUAGGCAGCUUUACUCCAGCUGAAGAUGAUGGCGCUGAAUGGUGGCAGUGGAGAUGAAGAGAAACAGACUAACCAGAGAGAUCUGAGGGAGAUAUGAUCACUUGUACCUGGUGAUAGGGUUUUAUUUAUUCAUGAGAGACAGAGGCAGAGACACAACCUGCAGGGAGCCUGAUGCAGGACUCGAUCCGAGGACCCCAGGAUCAUGACCUGAGCCGAAGGCAGAUGCUCAACCACUGAGCCACCCAGGCACUCUAUCACAGCACUGUUAACAACUGUGGAAGCAAUCUAAGCAACAUUGAUCAACAGAUGGAUAAAGACUGUGUGGUAUAUAUACACAACAUAAUAAUACUCAGCCACAAAAAAAGAAUGAAAUCUUGCCAUUUAUGACAACAUAGAUGGACCUAGAGGGCAUACUGCUAAGUAAAAGGAGUCAGAUAGAAAAAAACCAAUAUGAUAUGAUUUGACUUAUAUGUGGAGGCUAGAAACCAAACCAACCAACCAACCAACAACAAAAAGCAGAAACAGAAUGAUAAAUAUAGAGGACAAAUUGUUGGUGGCCAGAAUUAAGGGCUUGGGGUAGGGGCGAAAAUGGUGCAGGUGAUUAAGAAGUGCAAACUUCCGGUUAUAAGUAAGUGACAGGGAUGAAGGGUGCAGCAUAGGGAAUAUAGUGGAUAAUAUUGUAAUAAUCUUGUUGUGACAGAUGAUAACAAUACCAUGGUAGCACAGUAAUAACAUUCUUAGUGUAAAUCAUUAUGUUGUAACAUCUGAAACUAAUGUAACAUUUUAUGUCAACUAUACUUCAAUAAAUCAACAAACAAGUAAAUAAAGUGCAUGUAGCUAAUACAGUGAAAAUGACCCAAAUGAUCA